AGUUGCAUCGUUUAUUGAUUAGGAUGUGGGUUCAUGGUCCAAGAAUGAGGUUUGAUUCCUCAUGCAACUU
rnacentral:tRNA from 1 species